CGCCGCUCCGCGCCCCUCCGCAGCCGCGCUGCCCUCCCUCCCUCCCUCCCUCCCCGCCGCCGCUCGGCGACCAAGACAUCCUGACAUAAUCACGGGGCUCCUUUGAAAACUGCAUCGAGUAAUUUAGCACUUGGGGAGGGAGGAAUUAUAUCCGUUUGAAAAGAAACCUCACACACGCAGAACCUCCAAAACGAUCGAUAAAUUUCCCUCGACCUUCUUUACCGCCGGGGAAAUAUCCUCUAGCCUAAAAUCCCUCUCCGAAGGGGUGUCCCGUUGUUUUGGAGCUGAACGGAGGAGCCUACGCUUGCAGCGGGGAGCUCUCCACAUCCAAGUCCGAUUUUUUUUCGGGAAAAGCGAGGGAUCUCGGCCGCAGCACAGCCCUGCUCGCUGUGUGUGCUCUGUACAUAUCUGUGUGCAUGUUGUGUGUGUGCGCGGGGACACAUCCAGGCAGAAGAACCGCAAGCAGAGCCUGGAGAACACAAGCUUUCCCUGGGUUUUGUCAGAGAAAAAAACAGGCCGGGAGCAGUGAGAACAAAAAAACUAAAAGGACUCGGGAUAGGAUUUCCCGGAAUUUUCCUCUUCUCCCUAAAGUUUUGUAUCAUUCUCGCACUCGCCGCCGUGGCCGCUUCUCGUGGGCUCCUCCCGGCAGCCCCGGCCUCGGCUGGCCCGGCCACCGGCCUGCCCCGGGAACGCCGCCCGGAGCCCCUCUCUUGAACUUCUCCCACCCAAGGUCUUGACAGGUUGCUCUCGCUGUCCUCUUGGCGUCUGCACGGAGAGAAUCUGGCGGGGGCUCCCUCGCCAGCAAUCCCGACCGGCUCGGAGCUCAGCCUCUCUCGGAGGGAGGGGUGCGCUGCAUCCGCGGGCGGAUUGCAUGGCUGGCCUGGCAGGAACCAGCUCCGGAUUUCCAAACUAACACUCAUCUUUUAAAAGACGAGCCAAGAAGGAAUUGCGAGGAAGGUCUCCGAUGCGGGGACCUCGGGGUAAGACGGUGAAACCUUGGAUGUGUCCAAAGUGAUCUGCAACAAUGGAUCUGGAGCUGCCAGAUCACUUCAUUGGGCUAUUAUCCAGGAAGGCUCAAAUAUGAAUGGAUCCUGCACAGACCACACCAGAUGGAAAAGAUCUGAGCUGGGCAAAAAGCUCUUUGUUGGGAGCUGUACUUUUGGGUGAAAUAAUUUCAGAAAGGUAGGGUGUUAGGCAAAGGAGCACCUCCAUCCUUUGGACACAUUUUUGUGCUAUUUCAAAGGAAAAGUUGUGAAUUCUUGCUUGUGUUGUCAUGGAUGUAUAUUCUUUCUAGCUCUCUGGAAAACUUCCUUCUCCAGUGAGGUUGGGUCUGUGCCUCAGCUGCACAGAGGUGUCUGCCCCUGCCCCCCUGCAGGCUGUGGGCUGAUUUCAGCCAGGUCUGCAGGGACCUGGCACCUUUGUCACAUUUAGAUGGGGAAAGGCAGCAGCGAUGGAGAAUCAGAGUGAAUCUCUUACUUUCAAGCACCUCUAGCCUCCCUCCGAUGAGUUAGUGCUUUUACAGCCCUGGAAAAAGAUUAAUGAGAGGAUCCAUGACAUCAGGUUUCUUUGGGAUUUCGGUGCAAGGGUUCUGUAGGCUUUUAACUGGCGCUCAAUGGAAAAAAAAUGUUCCUAUGCAUCAGGAAGAAUAACUCCUGGGCGAGUGACUAGAUUCACUGUUUUACACUGUGUGCUGUCACUGAGGUGCCUCAGUGCCCUCUCGACAGCAGGGGAAGUCAACACCAAAGGCAAAGCAGUAACACCCCCUUUUCCAGGGCCAGGGGAGAGAGCUGUUCCAGCAGCAGCAAUUCACAGUCCCAACAGGAAUAUAGCACUUGGGCCUGGCAGGUGAUGGAGCAUAUUUUCAGAACAUAUCCAACAUAUCCAAACAUAUAUUUUCAUAACAGAAUCCACUAUCUGGGCAUGGCAUUACUGCACAAAGCCCGUGUCAUGCUCACAGUGAAACAGGAUGGAUUCUGUUCCCCACACAUCCCUGACAUGGGCUGAGGUCCCAAAAUGAAUCCCUUUGUAAUACCCAGUGGACAAAAGUGAUCUCAAAGCUUGCUAACACACUGAGCUAACACACUGAGCCUCUGCAGUAAAGACCUUUUAAGUAAAAUCCAGGCUCCUUUCCCUGCUUAAAACCAGUAUAACUGAAAAUACAAAAGAGUCACAAGUCAUAGAAGUCACUUAAAUCUGCAGCUGAUGCUUCUGAGCCUUGCUGGGCACCUCUUAAUAUGACACAAAUCCUGCUGACAGGUAGCUGUGGGCACAGAGCUGUCCCUGUCUAAACCAAAUCUGGAUUAGAUACAAGUUCUUGUGUUAAAUACUCAGGAGCAAUGCUUAUCCAAGUCUCUCUACAGCCUCAGGAAGCAAAAAAGCAAACCUGUUUCUGUCUCUCUUUUAUCAAAGGGACUAACUGGACAGCCAGGCAGUGUUUUCCUUGGAGCUGAAGCCCAGAGCAGCCCUGCACCCUUGUCAUGCAGGCAGGGGUCUGGAUGUGUGCACUGGGCUUCACUGGGGUACUGCAAGGCUGGCCAAAGGGCAGAGGGGGCACUGGGAUGCCCAGACCUUGCACAGGGUGUGCCAGGAUCCAGUGUGCCCGUGGCCAGGAGAGAGCUGGGGGAGGCUGGCUCCAAGAGAGGGAAGCAGCUCUCAGUGGCCCCUGCAUUUGAAAUGAAUUUUACAAACUCCUGAGCUCUUAAGUCAAAUGGAAUACCUGGCCCAGCUGGGCUUUCCUGGCUGACCAAGGUGCCUGUGCUGAUUUGUUUCAAAUACCAAGUACCAAACAAUGUUAAUAUGUAAAAAAGUUCAGCUUUCAUUCAUGCUGUGCUGUCUAGAAAGCUGGAAAUAUGGGAAGGUUUCCAACCUGAAAUCCUUUUAUAAAUGGAAAAAACUCAUCUUUCAAGAGAAAGACCCAGAUCUGACCAAAUGGGAGGUGUGCUGUCUUUAUCCAGAUUCAGCAGAAAUUAAUGAAAACUGGCUUAAAAGGCUCUAAAAUACAAUGUGAUUCUAUACCUUUCCUUUUUACCCAGCUGCUGUCCACCUUCUCAGCAUCUUUCACUGCCCCCCUUUCCUCUAUAAGAGGGAAAUGUUUCUCCAUGUGCCAUGGCCUGUUGGAUGUCUCAGGCACUGCUGACUGAAAUAAAAACCUUAUUAUUUUUCUGCCCUUUUUUUUUCUCUGUUUUAAUAUUAAGUGCCAGGGAGAUUGGUAAAGAUUUCAGAAAAACAAAUUGACAUUUGGCCUAAUAAAAAAUUGUACACAGUUUUUCCUUUCUGCUCUGACUUGGCAGAAGAGUGCGUGAAAGCUCAGAGAAGAAAUAUUCCAUUUUUCCUGGAGGGAGGCAGGAAUCCAUUAACAUACAGUGCUGGAGCACAAUAUCCUGAUAUGCCCUUAAAAACUGACACAAAAAUGUGAGAUCUGUACAUUAAAAUUAAAUUCAGAAAUCACAAAUGUGGUGGCAGAAGCCCUUCUAAGCAAGAUUUAUUGUUGUCAGCUCCCACAGUUUUUUCAUGUCAUAUACAACACUUCCAUCUAAAGCUGCAUCUGAGGGAAGCAUGCAAUCAAGAAAAAGUCUAAGAUUUGUGUUUUUAAAUGAGAGGUUUUUUUGAGAAAGGUAUCUUUUAAAAUGGUAAAAAUGCACCCUUCAGAAGGGAAAUUAGGCACAGCCACAAAUGCAAUGCUCUUAUUAUUAAACUAAUCACAUAUGCUUGUGGAUUUCACUCUUUUCUCUUUAAAACAUUUUGGUAUUGGCAGUUUCAAAAAAAUUGCCUCUCAGCUUUUUGCUUUGGGGCCACGUAGUGAAUUAACAAACCUCCCCACCCUUUUGCAGCCUGGUUUCUCCACCCCAAGGGCUGAGCUGGCCCCCAGGCCAGUUUUAGCUCUGUCUCUCCCCCAGAUGACAGCUCAGGGCUCCCCCAGGGCCUCUGGUGUGCUGUCCGUGAGCUCAGUGCCCUCUGCUCCAGCCCAGCCCCUCAGCACAACCCACUGGGUGCUGCCACCAUUCUGCACCUACUAAAUAAUGGGGAUGAGCACAGGAAAUUCACAUUCCCUCGGUACCUUCCAAGAGAGGAGCUCUGGAUCUGCCUGCAAGCAGCUCUUGCCCACUGUUAGAGAAGCUGGGCUUCCGCAGGAGCUGUAAGCUGACAUUUUAUCAACCCAAUAACUCAGAGGGUCAAAAACCUCCCGUGAUGGCUCUCAGCAAAUUUCCAUGGCAAACUGGGGGGAAAGAGAAUAAAAUGAAUGUUACCACUGAAAUAAAUGACAGAAGGCUUUGUGGUUUUAUUCCCUAAAAUCAUCCACUUCUCAGCUUACUGGGCACUGCCAGUUUGCCAUGAAGCAGAUGGCUGCCAUUUUGCAUGGCUUUGGCUCUGUAAGUUGAUGAUACAGUUUUUUUACAGGCUUCAGACACAGCAUUAGCCAGGGCAGAACCCUGGAAGAUGAUAAAAGGCUUGAAGUGAAAAAAUGUUGACAAUUUUAACCUGCAUGGCUGGAAAUAGGCCAGUGCCAUGGCUUUGGCAAGAUCUGUGGCUCUUUAAUUUGGGAGCAGGAGUGGAAAUUACAGCAGCAGCAAGCAAGAAGCCCAGUGGAUGUAAAGGAACUGAGCUGUUCUUCCUGGAAAACAGAAUUAAAAAGUAAUGAUUGAAAGAAUGAAGGCCCUGCCUCUCAGCCCAGAGGAGCAAAGCCAAGGAGUGCAGGAGCAGGGAUUGCAGUGAGAGAUGGAGAUGUUCUUCCUUGAGAAAAGACCCUGAAUGCAGCCCUUGAGAGGGGAGCACAAGGCACCACUGAGGAGAGCUCCAGCUGCAUUCCAGGGCUGGGAAAGCCAAUCCUGCUCUCUGCCCAGUCACAGACUCUGCACUGAGGACACUGCACUGCAGCAUCUGCCACGCUUGUUUGGUUUGACUUUAAAAAUAGGGCACAGACAGGAGUGGCAGAAGAAAAACUGCUUUUACUUCUGUCUGCACUGCCUGAGCGUGUAAACAGCUACUGGAACCCAGCAGAGGAAGACUGUCAGCCUGGCAGAAGCUCGGUCAGAUUUUCAGCUGAUGUAAAUCAGGAGGACUCCGUUAUUAGCACUGAACUGGCUCACAACAGCUGAGGCUCUAGCUGAGCCACUGAAGUGGUAAAUAGUGCUGACAGCAAGUUGUGGCUUCAACAACCUUAAAUGAACUCCAUUAAGUGCUCAUUUCUGAAGAGAAUGUUGUUGAAACCUGGAAAUAAGUCUUUCAAAGGUUUAACAUAUUUGUCUGUUGUAGAGGGUUUUGUUUUGAAACCAGAUGCACUGAGCAGCUCAGCGUUGCUCCACAUGGCAGGAGAGGCAGCAUAGUAGGGAUGGAUCCUGCUCUCUCCUUCCUGCUGAAAUUGGAAGUAACCUUUGCAGAGUCAAUGUCAUCACAUUAGUGUCAGUGGGACCAGAGGUAGGGCAAGUGUGAGUAAUUCCUUCCAGGGAGAUGGAGAUGAUGACAGCCUAAAACCUAUCUGAAUAAUUGAAAAAUGUUGGUGAUGUUGCAUUCUUGGAAAUAAAACUGGCACACGUUCCACAGAAAACUCAAAGUAGCUGAAACAAUUGAUCAUGACAGGGUUGAGUGAAGAAGCAAAACAGACUCUGUGGGUUUGAGCGACGCACAGGCAGUUUCAGUAAAAGACAGAGUGGGCAGGGGCAGAAUCAGGCAGCAAAAAUCUGCAGAGAGCAACUUAGGGUGAAGUUUGCCACAUGAGUCAGGCAGGGCAGAGCUCAGGAGGUGGGGCUGGCACACCAGGAGCAGGGAUGGGGCUUCAUGCAAGAGAUCAUGCCAAGGGACUGAUGUGCCACACAACUCACAGCACCAAAGCAAGCACUGGCCUCAGGCUGGAGAUAGCAAAGGGCUUUCCCUGCCUUGAUUUUUCACGUGCUUGGUUAAGAUGUGCCUGCAUCCUGUUUUUAAAGGAGUGUAUUUCACUCAGCUGUGCUGAGGGAAGAGUGCUGCUGGUGUCCCUAACCCUGGCAGUGGGGUGGUCAGUGCUGCUCAGGGAGCAGUGGGGAAUUUUGGGUAAAGCAGCCACUGCCUGGAGCAGCCAGAUGAAAGCAGUGUGGUGGGAGCAGAGUGAACACAUCCACUUCCAGGUGAGACUCCUCCUCAUAACCAGCAGCUCCAGGGGCCAGGGGAGGCUUUGUGGUUUAGGGGAUGCAGUGGCAGUGCUGGGUGGAUGGUUGGACUCUGGAUAAUUUGAAGGUCCUUUCCAACCUCGAUGAUUCUAUGGUUCUAUGGAAAUAUUUUUCACAAGUCAGGCAGCAGAAGGUGAAUUGGCUUCUAGUGCCUUGCUUGACUAGUGCUGGUUCAUUCAAGUGCCACAGCCUUUAAGAGAGAUAUUGGAAAAGAAGCUGGCUGCCAGGAAUCACAAUGGAGUGAGUGGACAUGUUCCAUCACUGCAUUAAUGCUCCUCACUAGCCCACAUUCAAUUCCUUGGCCAGAUCCAGCAAAGGACAGAGGCAUCUCCAAGAAGAAUUUCAAUAGAAUUCCAGAGAAUUACAAUGGAAUUACACAAUAGCACAGAAGAUAUAAUUUAUUGGUUAAUAUGGCUUGUAUUUUGUGGAUUCUAAAAAACUCAGCUGAGUGUAAAUACUCCAAAAGCCUUUGGAGUCCAUUGCCUCUCAGAAAAAAAAAAAAAACAAACCCCAAAACACAACCAAAACCCAAAACCCCCAAGAACCCAAACAGGCACAAAUAAAGCUCCACUCAGUGUAUUGUUGUUUGUUCAUUCAACAACCCUCUAAAAGUGACACACAGGUGUGUCAGCAACAAGUUGUUCUUAUCUCAGAGAGGUUUCACUGAAGAGUCACGCUGGAGAAAACACAAAUCAUCAGCUAGAGGAAAGAACAGGUGACAGAUGAGGUUUAUUCAGACUGCAGGAUCUGUUUUUUCUCUCUUUCUGCCAUUCCCAGCACAGUUGUGGCCCUCGGCUCUUAGGCUUGUCUGCAGUAGAAACUAUAAACACCAACAACACAAUAAGGUCUAAGAUAUUUUAAGGUUGGUUGUCUGGAGGAAACCAUUAGGCAUCCAUCAUGUGCCAGUGUGAACACAGGCUCUGUAUGCCUCAGACUGGGAGGUUUUUUGGUAAGUUUUCAAAAUUUUCAACUGAAACAUGCAGUUAAAAUGGCAUGUCAGUUAUCUCUGCAUUAUUGAUGCUGUUUUUCACACUACAGGCAUAUUUAUUGUUGGGGAAUCAUAAAUACUUUUCAUUUUUUUUAUCCUGCUUUACACUGUGUCAGGACAGAGACAUUUCUUUGAUUAUGAAAGCCUGGUUUGGUUUGGUUUUGUUCCCCCCUCCCGAUUUCUUGUUGACAUGAAUAGUCUUUGUCUUUUCUUUUCCCACGUUGCUGGAGGAUGGUAGCAAAACCAUUAAUGGAUUUGGACCAGCAACACCAUUUAAAGACUGGGAGGGGAUAAAGAAAGUCUCAUUCUUCACUAGUGAAGCCUGAUACUAAUUCACCAGUCAAUCCAUAACACCAGCUUUGCUGCAACAGAUGUAGGGAUUCCAGACACAAAUGAGUCACUAAAUGAUGAAAAGUCUUUAACCUGAUCAAAUGAGAACAAAGCAUAAAUCAUCUCAUGCAGAGUCCCCUGUCAGAUCCCAGCAAAGAUAUUUGCUUGUUAUGUAGCAAAGACCAUCAUGGAGUAUGCACUGCAAAGAAAAAUAUCUUUAUCUUAUUGUAGGCAAGUACUGCAGCUAAAUUAUUUUUGAUCAUUUUCAGUGAAUAUGAAAUCAGAAAAAAAUAUCCUGGCAAUCAAAUAGAAGAUUGUAGGUUUUUAGUGUACCUCCAAAUGUAAAUGUCCAGCAUCCUGUUAAAAUCAUGAAACAAAAUAAUAAAAAUGUCAGUUACAAGCUGCAUGGACAAAUGUGACACCUUUUAAUCAGGGGAUAUUUUAAAAAGCUUCGGGAGAAAAAAAAAAAAUGAAGAGUGUUUAAUUGCAAGAACAAUAUUUGGUACUUGGGAAGUUGAAAUCAACUUCUGAAAUCCAGCUUCCCAAAAGCAAGUAUGUUUAGCUGCUGCUAAACAAUAGUUUGUAGCACUCUUAGAUUACCCUUGAGAUACAGGACGUGUUUAUUUAAGUGAAUUAGUGUGGUUUAGUGUACUUUCUAUGUUCCAAGUGCGCUAAGGAGAAUGAAGUAUCCCAUUGAGAGAAUUCCACUCAGACCUAUGGCACAGCACCUGCAAACAAAACCCCCCUGACCACAACCUCUCAUCAAACCCCACAGCUACCCUGAAGCUAUUACAGUGCAGAGGCAGCCAAUUCCCCAAAUUUGAAUGGUUCCAGAGAAGAUAAAAACAUCCAAGCCAACAGUUAUUUUGCAUUAAAUUUCCCUUGGCCAAUUAUUGCCAUACUAGAUAUGUUUUGGAUUUUUUUAAAACCAGUUUUGCGCUACUCUGAAUCUCCCUGCAGAGCUCCAGCACGUCCUGCACUGCACACAGGGUGCUGGGGUGAUGGGUUGGGCUGGAGCUCUUCUUCCCUCCCUGUGUGUCUUGCUCUGCAUGCCACAGGAGCAGCUGGCACGUGGGGGCUGGCUGUUGCUGGAUGGGCACUGUGGAGAGGUUGGGAUGGGAACAGGGGUGCUGCCAUUCAGUCAGAGCUUUGGCACUGAGACAUGCCUGCUUCUUGAGUGCUGCUUGUUCUUUUAUGUGACCCCAUGGGACAGCUCCCUGUCAUGAGAUUUCACGGAAUGACCAGGUUGGAAGAGACCUUCAAGGUUAUGGAGUCCAACCCAGCCCCGACACCUCAACUAAACCCUGGCCCCCAGUGCCACAUCCAGGCUUUGUUAAACACACCCAGGGAUGGUGACUGCACCACCUCCCCGGGCAGCCAUUCCAGAGCUUUAUCACCCUUUCUGUGAAAAACUUUUUCCUGAUAUCCAACCUGUAUUUCUCUUGAGGCUGUGUCCUCUGGUUCUAUCAGUACUGCUGGAGAAAGAGCCCAGCCCCAGCUGAGCACAGGUACCUUUCAGGAGCUGUGCAGAGUGAUGGGGGCACCCCUGAGUCUCCUUUUCUCCAGGUGAGCACCCCCAGCUCCCUCAGGGCUCCUCUCAGGGUUUGUGCUCCCAGCCCCUCUCCAGCCUCUGACUGGAUUUUUCCUUGGAGCAGAGACAGCCAGAGCUCCCUCCCAAAGCCAGGGGAGGGAGAGCCAUGGUGUGCAGUGAGGGGAGAGACGCAGGGCUGGGACUGUGCUGCAGGAAAAUCUCCAGCUGAAACACCAUCUUCUGUACACGAUUGCCUGUGCUUAGCUUAUUCAAGGGAGUAUUUUUCCAAAUAAGAGGAUUUUUGCUUUCAGAUUAAGUGAUUUCUAGAUGAUUUUACCCAUAGCAAAUCAGCAGGGGGUGAGUUUAGCUGCAUUUUGCCUACUCCAGAGAAAGAGAAGCUCACUCUUCUGAAAAUCAUCCACUAAAUUAAUGAAGACAUGAAUCUACAUUAGGAUGAACUUAUUUAGCUUAUUAAAGCCUCUCUCAGAUCAUUUCCCUCUGUGUGUGUCUCUACAUCACAGGCUCUUCUGUUUGUAAUUUCCAAAGCCGAAAAAAAGGGAGAUUUUAUCUUUUUUUAGGGGUUACCCUCAGCUUUCAGCAGUCAGAAGCAAUAUGUACAGUAGUCAGCCUAAAAUCCCAUAGCAAGAUUAAAGACCAUGCUGUAUGCAGUUGUUACAAUAAUGACAAUUUUACCUCACUCAUCAAGCAUAAUCUGAGGUGUGUGCCACUGUUAGUAAGGAAGGAAGAAC